AAAUUGCGAUAAUUAUUGUGAAUUGCGGAACCCGUGAAUCAUCAAGUUUUUGAACGCAAAUGGCGCCAGUGCUUGCACAGGCACAUCUAUUUGAGUGUUGGUAAAUAUAUUCUACUUUAUCCAUCAUGGUGGAUAGUAGAGAUUAUGAAUGUCCAUUAUUCUUUGAAAAAUGGUCAUUUUAAAUGUAGAACCUCAUCAAUAAGAUUCUUCAGCGACUUUUAGUAGUGUUUGGAAUUAAACUUGAUGAAUUCUUAAUCAAAACUCUACCAUUAUUAUUCAACCUCAAAUUAGAUGAGAGUACCCGCUGAAUUUAA
rnacentral:misc_RNA from 1 species